UACGAAGGGGGCUAGCGUUGUUCGGAAUUACUGGGCGUAAAGCGCACGCAGGCGGAUUGAUAAGUCAGGGGUGAAAUCCCGGGGCUUAACCUCGGAAUUGCCUUUGAUAAUGUCUGUCUUGAGUCCGGGAGAGGUGAGUGGAAUUCCUAGUGUGGAGGUGAAAUUCGUAGAUAUUAGGAAGAACACCAGUGGCGAAGGCGGCUCACUGGCCCGGAACUGCCGCUCAUGUGCGAAAGCGUGGGGAGCAAACUGU
rnacentral:rRNA from 1 species